GACGAACGCUGGCGGCGUGCUUAAUACAUGCAAGUCAACUUGACUUUAGAUAGCAAUAUCGAAAAGUAGGGUGGCGCACGGGUGCGUAACGCGUAGGUAAUCUGCCCUGAGGUCUGACAUAACCCGUCGAAAGGCGGGCUAACAUCAGAUUAUAUAUGAUCACGACAUCGUGGAAAUAUCAAAUCUUCGGAGCCUUGGGAUGAGCCUGCGUCUGAUUAGGUAGUUGGCGGAGUAAUAGCCCACCAAGCCUACGAUCAGUAGCUGGUCUGAGAGGAUGAUCAGCCACACUGGAACUGAGACACGGUCCAGACUCCUACGGGAGGCAGCAGUAAGGAAUAUUGCUCAAUGGGGGAAACCCUGAAGCAGCAACGCCGCGUGAAGG
rnacentral:rRNA from 1 species